UACGUAGGGGGCAAGCGUUGUCCGGAUUUAUUGGGCGUAAAGAGCGUGUAGGCGGUUCGGUAGGUCCGUUGUGAAAACUCGAGGCUCAACCUCGAGACGCCGAUGGAAACCCUCGAACUAGAGUCCGGAAGAGGAGAAUGGAAUUCCUGGUGUAGCGGUGAAGUGCGCAGAUAUCAGGAAGAACACCCGUGGCUAAGGCGGUUCUCUAGUACGGUACUGACGCUGAGACGCGAAAGCGUGGGGAGCGAACAGG
rnacentral:rRNA from 1 species